CUUUCUUAUCUAUCGUUAUAGAUUUUUUUUUUCUUUUUUGACAGAGAAGUUUGUUAUUUCUUGAUUUUGCAUUUUUUAUAAUAGUAGUCACAAGAUGCGCCGUUCUAAUGUGUCUAACAUCCAAAAGCCUACUACUGGUAAUGCACCGAGUAAACGCUCUCGUGUGCAAACUACUGAUCAGCCAUGCCCAAAUGGAUCCCGUUCUACUUCAGGUAGUGCAAUGAGUAAACGCUCUCGUGUGCAAACUACUAAUCAGUCAUGCGAAAAUUAUGUACAAGACGGACUCAAUUAUGCUAUUGGUACCACUACAGAACGAACUACUAC